AUAUCAGUGGGGGCGGAAGUGGCUGCGCCAACGGCAACUGAAGGGGUGGAAAUGAUUGUGGCGACGAAAGAGCCGCUGUCUUUCUCGGUAGCCGCGGGGUUCGCGAGUCCGUCGGCGAUCUUCCUGGCGAUCGUGGAAGCGGUUGUCUGUGCGGUGAUCGUUGGGGCAGUUGUUUGGGCGGUGAUCGCGGAGGCUGCGAGGUCGUUGGUGAGCGGAAGUGAUGUCACGGUCGUCAGCAGCCGUUGGUGCCGUGGCGCUGUAGAGGCCGAGAGAAGAUUCUGGAACAGUUGAGUAACCACGACUGUGGGGAUUCAAUAGAUCGCACUUGGAUUGAAGACUAUGAGGAUGAUAACAGCAACAUCUGGACAACUGCUUCCACGUUCAUCACCUUGUUCUUCCUGAGUAUUUUCUACAGCGCUGCCGACACUCUAGUGAAGGUUAAAUGAAUGAAUUGUGGACUCCUUUGAUUUUCCUGCUCUGCUUAUCAAGGUCUCUGAAUUCCCAAUCUACAAUCUGUCCUGUUGCAGACUCUAACAGUGAGAUUACUUCAGUUUAUCAGCGUGUAACUGAGACAAUUAUUGAUGGAUUUUCCUUUUUGCUUUGAUAUCUUUGAGAGGGUUGUCGUUGGAAGAAUUUGUAGCUUCCCAGUUGUUUGAAGCCCAUUUGUUUUGAUUUUAUUUGUUUCUUACUCAGAAUGGUUGUCUACCCUUUCUG